rnacentral:rRNA from 1 species
GAGAGCUUGCUCUCUGAUUCAGCGGCGGACGGGUGAGUAAUGCCUAGGAAUCUGCCUGGUAGUGGGGGACAACGUCUCGAAAGGGACGCUAAUACCGCAUACGUCCUACGGGAGAAAGCAGGGGACCUUCGGGCCUUGCGCUAUCAGAUGAGCCUAGGUCGGAUUAGCUAGUUGGUGAGGUAAUGGCUCACCAAGGCGACGAUCCGUAACUGGUCUGAGAGGAUGAUCAGUCACACUGGAACUGAGACACGGUCCAGACUCCUACGGGAGGCAGCAGUGGGGAAUAUUGGACAAUGGGCGAAAGCCUGAUCCAGCCAUGCCGCGUGUGUGAAGAAGGUCUUCGGAUUGUAAAGCACUUUAAGUUGGGAGGAAGGGCAGUAAGCGAAUACCUUGCUGUUUUGACGUUACCGACAGAAUAAGCACCGGCUAACUCUGUGCCAGCAGCCGCGGUAAUACAGAGGGUGCAAGCGUUAAUCGGAAUUACUGGGCGUAAAGCGCGCGUAGGUGGUUUGUUAAGUUGAAUGUGAAAUCCCCGGGCUCAACCUGGGAACUGCAUCCAAAACUGGCAAGAUAGAAUAGGGCAGAGGGUGGUGGAAUUUCCUGUGUAGCGGUGAAAUGCGUAGAUAUAGGAAGGAACACCAGUGGCGAAGGCGACCACCUGGGCUCAUACUGACACUGAGGUGCGAAAGCGUGGGGAGCAAACAGGAUUAGAUACCCUGGUAGUCCACGCCGUAAACGAUGUCAACUAGCCGUUGGAAGCCUUGAGCUUUUAGUGGCGCAGCUAACGCAUUAAGUUGACCGCCUGGGGAGUACGGCCGCAAGGUUAAAACUCAAAUGAAUUGACGGGGGCCCGCACAAGCGGUGGAGCAUGUGGUUUAAUUUGAAGCAACGCGAAGAACCUUACCAGGCCUUGACAUCCAAUGACUUUCUAGAGAUAGAUUGGUGCCUUCGGGAACAUU